UACGAAGGGUGCAAGCGUUACUCGGAAUUACUGGGCGUAAAGGGUGCGUAGGUGGUCGUUUAAGUCCGUUGUGAAAUCCCUGGGCUCAACCUGGGAAUGGCAGUGGAUACUGGACGGCUAGAAUGCGGUAGAGGGUAGUGGAAUUCCCGGUGUAGCAGUGAAAUGCGUAGAUAUCAGGAGGAACACCGGUGGCGAAGGCGGCUAUCUGGACAGAAACUGACGCUGAGGCGCGAAAGCGUGGGGAGCAAACAGG
rnacentral:rRNA from 1 species